GAUGAACGCUGGCGGCGUGCCUCAAACAUGCAAGUCGAGCGGGGCUAUGUAAUAUCGCAAGGUAGAACAUAGCCUAGCGGCGAACGGGUGAGUAACACGUGGGUAACCUGCCUGGAAGACAGGGAUAACGAUUCGAAAGGGUCGCUAAUACCUGAUAAUAUCCUUUCAUCGCAUGGUGAUAGGAAGAAAGGGGAAACCCGCUUUCAGAUGGGCCCGCGUCCCAUCAGCUAGUUGGUAAGGUAAAGGCUUACCAAGGCGACGACGGGUAGCCGGUCUGAGAGGAUGUACGGCCACACUGGGACUGAGAUACGGCCCAGACUCCUACGGGAGGCAGCAGUUGGGAAUCUUAGGCAAUGGACGAAAGUCUGACCUAGCGACGCCGCGUGAGGGAAAAGGCCUUGGGUUGUAAACCUCUGUCAUGGGGGAAAAGGUAAGUGACGGUACCCAAGAGGAAGCCCCUGCUAACUACGUGCCAGCAGCCGACGGUAAAAGUCCUCUAU
rnacentral:rRNA from 1 species